rnacentral:lncRNA from 1 species
AUAUGGAUUGGAUUAAAUAAUCUCUAAAGCCCUUUCUUGCUCUAAGAACUCUGAAUCUUUAGGAUAUAAAACUAAAUUCUUUAUUCUACAAAUGUAUACCCUUUCCAGCUUUGAGAACCCUGACUCUUAAAAAUCCAAAACUAAAUUUUAUGUUCUGUAAAUUUUUGGAAUUCUUACAGGGACGGAAGAAGUCUAUAGUGGCUGUGGAGCCCAGGAGUCUUAUUCAAGGAGCCUUUCAAGGCUGCUCAGUGUCCGGGAUGACACUGAAAUACAUGUAUGGGGUAAAUGCUUGGAAGAACUGGGUUCAGUGGAAAAAUGCCAAGGAAGAGCAGGGGGAUCUAAAAUGUGGAGGGGUUGAACAGGCCUCAUCUAGCCCACGUUCUGACCCCUUAGGAAGUACUCAAGACCAUGCACUCUCUCAAGAAUCCUCAGAGCCAGGCUGUAGAGUCCGCUCUAUCAAGCUGAAGGAAGACAUUCUGUCCUGCACUUUUG